UACGUAGGGUGCGAGCGUUGUCCGGAAUUAUUGGGCGUAAAGAGCUCGUAGGCGGUGUGUCGCGUCGGCCGUGAAAACCUGGGGCUUAACUCUGGGCGUGCGGUCGAUACGGGCAUCACUAGAGUUCGGCAGGGGAGACUGGAAUUCCUGGUGUAGCGGUGAAAUGCGCAGAUAUCAGGAGGAACACCGGUGGCGAAGGCGGGUCUCUGGGCCGAUACUGACGCUGAGGAGCGGAAAGCAUGGGUA
rnacentral:rRNA from 1 species